AUUGAACGCUGGCGGCAGGCCUAACACAUGCAAGUCGAACGGUAACAGGAAGAAGCUUGCUUCUUUGCUGACGAGUGGCGGACGGGUGAGUAAUGUCUGGGAAACUGCCUGAUGGAGGGGGAUAACUACUGGAAACGGUAGCUAAUACCGCAUAACGUCGCAAGACCAAAGAGGGGGACCUUCGGGGCCUCUUGCCAUCGGAUGUGCCCAGAUGGGAUUAGCUAGUAGGUGGGGUAACGGCUCACCUAGGCGACGAUCCCUAGCUGGUCUGAGAGGAUGACCAGCCACACUGGAACUGAGACACGGUCCAGACUCCUACGGGAGGCAGCAGUGGGGAAUAUUGCACAAUGGGCGCAAGCCUGAUGCAGCCAUGCCGCGUGUAUGAAGAAGGCCUCGGUUGUAAGUACUUUCAGCGGGGAGGAAGGGAGGUAAAGGUUAAAGUUAACCC
rnacentral:rRNA from 1 species